rnacentral:rRNA from 1 species
GAGUUUGAUCCUGGCUCAGAUUGAACGCUGGCGGCAGGCCUAACACAUGCAAGUCGAGCGGUAGCACAGAGAGCUUGCUCUCGGGUGACGAGCGGCGGACGGGUGAGUAAUGUCUGGGAAACUGCCUGAUGGAGGGGGAUAACUACUGGAAACGGUAGCUAAUACCGCAUAACGUCGCAAGACCAAAGUGGGGGACCUUCGGGCCUCAUGCCAUCAGAUGUGCCCAGAUGGGAUUAGCUGGUAGGUGGGGUAACGGCUCACCUAGGCGACGAUCCCUAGCUGGUCUGAGAGGAUGACCAGCCACACUGGAACUGAGACACGGUCCAGACUCCUACGGGAGGCAGCAGUGGGGAAUAUUGCACAAUGGGCGCAAGCCUGAUGCAGCCAUGCCGCGUGUGUGAAGAAGGCCUUCGGGUUGUAAAGCACUUUCAGCGGGGAGGAAGGCGGUGAGGUUAAUAACCUCAUCGAUUGACGUUACCCGCAGAAGAAGCACCGGCUAACUCCGUGCCAGCAGCCGCGGUAAUACGGAGGGUGCAAGCGUUAAUCGGAAUUACUGGGCGUAAAGCGCACGCAGGCGGUCUGUCAAGUCGGAUGUGAAAUCCCCGGGCUCAACCUGGGAACUGCAUUCGAAACUGGCAGGCUAGAGUCUUGUAGAGGGGGGUAGAAUUCCAGGUGUAGCGGUGAAAUGCGUAGAGAUCUGGAGGAAUACCGGUGGCGAAGGCGGCCCCCUGGACAAAGACUGACGCUCAGGUGCGAAAGCGUGGGGAGCAAACAGGAUUAGAUACCCUGGUAGUCCACGCUGUAAACGAUGUCGAUUUGGAGGUUGUGCCCUUGAGGCGUGGCUUCCGGAGCUAACGCGUUAAAUCGACCGCCUGGGGAGUACGGCCGCAAGGUUAAAACUCAAAUGAAUUGACGGGGGCCCGCACAAGCGGUGGAGCAUGUGGUUUAAUUCGAUGCAACGCGAAGAACCUUACCUGGUCUUGACAUCCACAGAACUUUCCAGAGAUGCUUUGGUGCCUUCGGGAACUGUGAGACAGGUGCUGCAUGGCUGUCGUCAGCUCGUGUUGUGAAAUGUUGGGUUAAGUCCCGCAACGAGCGCAACCCUUAUCCUUUGUUGCCAGCGGUUAGGCCGGGAACUCAAAGGAGACUGCCAGUGAUAA